GACGAGGGGUCCUAGCGUUGUUCGGAAUCACUGGGCGUAAAGAGUAUGUAGGCGGCCUUGCAAGUCAGGUGUGAAAUCCCACGGCUCAACCGUGGAAUUGCAUUUGAAACUGCAGGGCUUGAAUAUGGAAGAGGGUAGUAGAAUUCCUGGUGUAGUGGUGAAAUACGUAGAUAUCAGGAGGAAUACCGGUGGCGAAGGCGACUGCCUGGUCCAAUAUUGACGCUGAGAUACGAAAGUGUGGGGAUCAAAC
rnacentral:rRNA from 1 species